GCAGUCUGGCUGAACCCUACCACUGUUUAAUAUGGAUUCACCUCCACCCAGCAGUCUGGCCUGAACACUACCACUGUUUAAUAUGGAUUCACCUCCACCCAGCAGUCUGGCUGAACCCUACCGCUGUUUAAUAUGGAUUCACCUCCACCCAGCAGUCUGGCUGAACCCUACCUCUGUUUUCUAUGGAUUCACCUCCACCCAGCAGUCUGGCCUAACCCUACAGCUGUUUAAUAUGGAUUCACCUCCACCCAGCAGUCUGGCUGAACCCUACCGCUGAUUAAUAUGGAUUCACCUCCACCCAGCAGUCUGGCCUGACCCUACCACUGUUUAAUAUGGAUUCACCUCCACUCGUGUUUUUAUUUGAAGGACAGGUAUAUGAAAGGGGUGGGACUCUAUGCUAGCCUAGCGGGCUGAAGACUGAACCUAGUGGGCUGUAGCCUAGCAGGAUGACUAGCUGACUGCUGAAUGACACUCAUUGUGUCAGUGUUUGGUUUCACAGUAAAACAGAUUGACUGACUGACAGUAUAAUCUCUGCUGGCUGAGUGUGACCCCGUCUGUCCUCCAUCUUUGUUUUGUCUCGUUAUCCAUGGGUGUGUUGUGUUGUUUGUGUGCUUCAUAUACAUACUGCAGUGGUCCUCUCCAUGUGUGCAUACUGCAGUAGUCCUCUCCAUGUGUAUAUACGGCUGUAGUCCUGUCCAUGUGUGCAUACUGCUGUAGUCCUCUCCAUGUGUAUAUACUGCUGUAGUCCUGUCCAUGUGUGCAUACUGCUGUAGUCCUCUCCAUGUGUAUAUACUGCUGUAGUCCUCUCCAUGUGUAUAUACCGCUGUAGUCCUCUAAAUGUGUGCAUACUGCUGUAGUCCUCUCCAUGUGUACAUAUCGCUGUAGUCCUCUCCAUGUGUAUAUACUGCUUUAGUCCUCUCCAUGUGUACAUACCGCUGUAGUCCUCUAAAUGUGUGCAUACUGCUGUAGUCCUCUCCAUGUGUGCAUACUGCUGUAGUCCUCUCCAUGUGUACAUAUCGCUGUAGUCCUCUCCAUGUGUAUAUACUGCUUUAGUCCUCUCCAUGUGUACAUACCGCUGUAGUCCUCUAAAUGUGUGCAUACUGCUGUAGUCCUCUCCAUGUGUAUAUACGGCUGUAGUCCUCUCCAUGUGUAUAUACGGCUGUAGUCCUCUCCAUGUGUAUAUACGGCUGUAGUCCUCUCCAUGUGUACAUACCGCUGUAGUCCUCUCCAUGUUUAUAUACAGCUGUAGUCUGCUCCGUGUUCAUAUACGGCUGCAGUCCUCUCCAUGUGUAUAUACGGCUGUAGUCCUCUC
ensembl:lncRNA